rnacentral:lncRNA from 1 species
UAUGGAAACUGGAGAUGGUGAGGAGUCAUCGUUACUCUGUUCGGCACCGGAUGUCUCGACACCAAUGGGGCCAAGGGUCAAGCCUGUACGGCCACGGCCAGCAUAGGCUGCCCUAAUAUCUGCGAGGAAUUAUUUGAACUGUUUCCCAGGUCUGGAGUACGCUGACAGGAUCGACUUUGAUUUACAUAGUCGCAGAUAUACUGCUGGAUGGCCCUGUCAGUACUUAGGGAUCGGAUACGUUUCUGCAAAGAAAAAAAAUUUUUUCUUUGCAGAAACAUAUCCGAUCCCUAUGGUCCCCAGUCAGUACGGAAGGCAGGAAAGAUGAGCUGGUAUGACGCCAUAGCCGCGACUGUAAUGUUGUCUGCUCACCUUAACGUACCGCUUGUGAAUCUCAAUGUUUUGUGUGCGCGCCGCCGAAUUAGAUGGAUUGAUGAACCUGUGGAGAAAAAAAAUCUGUUUAUAAUAGAUGGCCGGGCUUACAUUCACCUGUAAGUGGCGUGGAUGUAUCCAAAUGUUCUGUUAUUGAUUAUCUUCCUGCCUCGGCUUCGCUGGCCAUCACUGUGAUUUACAGUAAGAUGGCCAGCGAAACCGAGGCAGGUACAGUUUCUAUACUGUGGCGCGCAAUCGGCGAUGAUUGUAGAGGCGGCCGCGAUAUAAUGCGCUAUGUAUGCCUACAGUACGCUGCGUGAUUUUUCCACCUGUGGAUGGAAUAUAAAAAGAAUGAGUGGAAAUAGCCCUUACAGGCCCAGGAAU